rnacentral:rRNA from 1 species
UACGUAGGGGGCUAGCGUUGUCCGGAUUUAUUGGGCGUAAAGAGCGUGUAGGCGGCCAUGUAGGUCCGGUGUGAAAACUCGAGGCUUAACCUCGAGAUGUCAUCGGAAACCAUUUGGCUAGAGUCCGGAAGAGGAGAGUGGAAUUCCUGGUGUAGCGGUGAAAUGCGCAGAUAUCAGGAAGAACACCCGUGGCUAAGGCGGCUCUCUAGUACGGUACUGACGCUGAGACGCGAAAAGCGUGGGGGAGCGAACAGG